UCCCUGGUGGUCCAGUGGUUAAGACUCUGUGCUUCCAUCACAGGGGGCGUGGGUUGGAUCCCUGUUCAGGAAA
rnacentral:tRNA from 1 species